CAGCCGCGGGAAUACAGAGGGUGCAAGCGUUAAUCGGAAUUACUGGGCGUAAAGCGCGCGUAGGUGGUUUGUUAAGUUGGAUGUGAAAGCCCCGGGCUCAACCUGGGAACUGCAUCCAAAACUGGCAAGCUAGAGUACGGUAGAGGGUGGUGGAAUUUCCUGUGUAGCGGUGAAAUGCGUAGAUAUAGGAAGGAACACCAGUGGCGAAGGCGACCACCUGGACUGAUACUGACACUGAGGUGCGAAAGCGUGGGUAGCAAACAGGAUUAGAUACCCGCGUAGUCCCUGUCUCUUAUACACA
rnacentral:rRNA from 1 species